UACGUAGGGGGCGAGCGUUACCCGGAUUUACUGGGCGUAAAGGGGGCGUAGGCGGCCGUGAAAGUCCGGUGUGAAAUACCACGGCUCAACCGUGGAACUGCGCUGGAAACUACACGGCUUGAGGACGGUAGAGGGAGACGGAACUGCUGGUGUAGGGGUGAAAUCCGUAGAUAUCAGCAGGAACGCCGGUGGAGAAGUCGGUCUCCUGGGCCGUUCCUGACGCUGAGGCCCGAAAGCUAGGGGAGCAAACCGG
rnacentral:rRNA from 1 species